GCAAGAAAGGCAAAGGCUGCUGUGUGGAUCUGUCUUGCCUGAAAGUCAUGUGGGAGCAGUCAAACAAGAGGCGGAACUGGGACUUCACUCUAGGGGAAGCCAGGAGCCAUGUUGUGGGUGGCCCUAGGGAAAGGCCCACAUGGCAAGGACCUGACACCUCUGGCCAACAGCCGGUGAGGAGCCAAACCCUGACAACAACCAUGUGAGUGAGCUUAGAAGCAAAUCCUUCCAGUAGAACCUGAGAUGAAACCACAGUCCUGGCCAACACCUCGACUGCAGCCUUGUAAGAGACCUGGCCAGCGCAGCUGCACCUAUACUCCUGACACACAGAA
rnacentral:lncRNA from 10 species